rnacentral:rRNA from 1 species
CCGUAGCCCAAGAGAUCGGGAUAACACCUGGAAACAGAUGCUAAUACCGGAUAACAACAGAUGAUGCCUAUCAACUGUUUAAAAGAUGGUUCUGCUAUCACUCUUGGAUGGACCUGCGGUGCAUUAGCUAAUUGGUAGGGUAACGGCCUACCAAGGCGAUGAUGCAUAGCCGAGUUGAGAGACUGAUCGGCCACAUUGGGACUGAGACACGGCCCAAACUCCUACGGGAGGCAGCAGGC